UGGGGUGUAGCUUAGUGGUAUAGUGCAUGCUAGUCUUGUACAAGGUUCUGGGUUCAAUCCCCAGCACAGCAA
rnacentral:tRNA from 1 species